rnacentral:rRNA from 1 species
AUGGCGCCACCGCCGCUAGCCACGGUGGCGGCGGCCGAGGAGUUCCUGGAGGUGCGCUGCGCGGGGUGCGAGGAGACGUUGGAGGUGGAACGGGGGCUGACGGAGUUCGUCUGCCCCGACUGCGCCACGGCGCAGUCGCUCCCUCCGGAGCUCAUGCCGCGGCCCCGGCGGAGGGCGUUGCCCCUGCCGCGAGGCGCCGCGGGUGCGCGCGGGGCCAGGCUUCCGUGCGGCGCCUGCGGCGAGCUCCUCAGCGUGCCGGUCGGGCUAUCGCGCUGCGCAUGCCCGCUCUGCGGCGCCGAGCUGGCCAUUGACUCCACGCGCCUGCGGAACUACAUCCUCUCCUCCGCCGAGGCGGCCGUCGUGCCGCUCGCCGCCGCGUCUGUCCCACCGAUUGUUGCCGCUCGGGAGAAAUGGCAAGAGCGUCCUAGUUAUGCAAUGCGUGCAGGGCUACCACGAACAGAACCUGAUGAACAACAGGGGUAUACUGAUCAUAUCAUUGAUGGAGAACAAAUACAUAUGGCAAAUGAGACUGUUGCAAAUAAUAGCCUUCAGAGAAAUCGACCGCCCCUUGGCUGUCGUAUUGUAGGCAAUGAGGAGAGACAAGCUUUGCCUCUAAAUGAGGCCAGAGAUCAUGUAAAUGAUCAUCACCCUAGUUACACUAUGCAGCCAAAGCGAGCGCAGCUGGCACACUUGCAUCGAGUCACUCAUUCAGAGGACACGCAGGAUGGACUUCUCAGCCAUGAAAUUUAUGGAGAUGCGAGACAUACUGAACUGAUAGAUGAGGCUACUGCAACUCGUAGUAACCAGAGAGUCGGAUGCUCCGUUAGCCCCCAAACUGUAAGUACAGGGGAGAGGCAUACGGAGACUCCUGCUCAGAUCAUACAGCAGGCACACAAACAGCCUUUUCAUGAGAGUCAUGCAGAAGGCAGUCGGUUAUACUGUCUGGAUCUUGAUGGGGUGGUUCAUCCACCUGUCAACCAAGAAAAACACGGAGAAGAGGCAUCUACUGAGAUGAUCAAUAAAACAGUUUCGAGGGAGAGCAUUCGGCCAACUGGAUGCGCUGUUGAACCCAACUCUGUUAAUGCAGAGAAGAGAAAGGCAUCGACCACAAAUCAGGCAAUUUGUGGGCAUACCGAUCCUGCAACUAAUAGAGAAGCCAUGUGCUCUCUUCCUAUAAAGGAGACUACUGCAUCGUGUAGUAGCAAGCAGAAAAAAUCAAAGUUAGCUAAUGCUAAGGCUAUUGGCAAGAAGAGACAUACAGAACCACUGAACCACAUUGUACAGCAGGCAGAAGGACAGACCUCUGAUAGCCGUAUUCAUGGAACUCAUGUCGACUUUGAGCGUCAAAGUAAGGCUAAUGAGAGGCCUGGCAACACCUCGACUCUUAAGGAGAGGAAACAGGUUACACCUCCGAAUAAGCUGGCUGAUCUAAAACAGAAAAAUGUACGCACUAAUGAUGAAACCCAGAAGGAGCAGAUUAAAGUUAUUGUUUCCAAGCAGACUAGUGGUUGGACUCAGAAGAAGAAUAGAAAAGGCUCAAUAGCUUCAUCAAAUGCAGGGCUUCAGCUUAGGCGUAGUAAACGUUUGGCUAAAGAUUCAGCUGCUGCUAUAGAAAAUGAACCUCUAGAAAGUGACCCUGGUGGGCUGCAGGAUUUUGGUCCUAAUGUCCAAGUGCCAGCAGAUGCUAUGGAUGACGAAUCAAUUGAAUGGGAGCCUCUUCAGCAGCGUCCUGCCUUUCCAGAUUGUGAAGUGUCAGUUGCCAUGACAGACACUGAAUCUGUAGAAAGUGAGAACGAUGAUGCUGUAUCUCCAGAUGAAAGCAUGUCUGAUUCUGACUAUCCAGACACUGAUAGAAUGAGCGCUGGUCUUUACCCUAGCACACCGUCUGCGCAUAAGUUGCCUCAAGAAAUCUCUGAUGAACUAGAUGACCUUGAUUUAACAACAGCUCCUUCAAAUACUGAUAUGUCUGACCUUGAGCAUUUCGCGCGGAAUUAUUGUCGGUUAUUACCUCUAGAAGUCAGAAGGGCCCUUGCCAAGAAGAAAUAUAAUGUGUUUCAUGACCGUCUGAUAUCUGAGGGUUCCAAUAAGGUAUCCCUGCACGAUAUAACUGAUUCCGAGGAGCAGCAACAAGGUAAAAAGGGACACAAAGCAGGAGGUAAUCUUUGUGUCAAAAUGUGGACCUUGCCUGAGGGUGUACGGGUACCAGUCUCCUUGAACACUUCGGGCCUGCCAAUUGGAGAAAAUGCAAACAUGUUGAUUAACUUUCUAGGCGCACUAGCACGAGACGGAAUAUUGGCACCUCUCAAGUAUAUAAGUUGGAAAAAUAUUCCAAAGGAGAACAAGGAUGUUAUGUAG